UACGUAGGGCGCGAGCGUUGUCCGGAUUCAUUGGGCGUAAAGAGCUCGUAGGCGGUUCAGUAAGUCGGGUGUGAAAGCUCCGAGCUCAACUCGGAGAGGCCACCCGAUACUGCUGUGACUUGAGUCCAGUAGAGGAGCGUGGAACUCCUGGUGUAGGGGUGAAAUGCGCAGAUAUCAGGAAGAACACCGGUAGCGAAGGCGGCGCUCUGGGCUGGAACUGACGCUGAGGAGCGAAAGCGUGGGUAGCAAACAGG
rnacentral:rRNA from 1 species